UACGUAGGGCGCAAGCGUUAUCCGGAAUUAUUGGGCGUAAAGAGCUCGUAGGCGGUUUGUUGCGUCGGCUGUGAAAUCCCGAGGCUCAACCUCGGGUCUGCAGUCGAUACGAGCAAACUAGAGUGUUGCAGGGGAGACUGGAAUUCCUGGUGUAGCGGUGAAAUGCGCAGAUAUCAGGAGGAACACCGGUGGCGAAGGCGGGUCUCUGGGCCGUA
rnacentral:rRNA from 1 species